UGCCAGUAAUCGCCUCAUGCCUGCCUGUAUUUCAACCCCAGUUCUCCACACCAUCCUCGCUUGAUCGUUGUUGCUCCAUACCCGGUGCCACCCCCACGUUCAGGCUCUCCUGUUUCUUGUUUUAUUCUCACAUUUACCCCAUGCCUUGUCUCUGUUAUCUCUAACCCUGUCUCUCUGUCUGUUUCCCUCCCAGGUACACUCACCCUCGUCCUCCGUUCAGUCGGCUGGGCUCAUCCACCGGCCCUCUCCUCCUCGGACCUCCCCCACGGCGUCCUCCCUGUCCUCCCACCGCUCCUGGCUACCUCAGCCCCAGUGUUCCCCAGCUCCCUGGCCUCCAGGCUCCUUGGUUCCCCGUGCCUGCGUUUCCCCAACGUCCUCCUCUCCCUCCACUCCAGUCCCUCUCACCCUUUUUCCCCUCAAUAAACCUCCUUCCCUCAGAGUGCUGCAUUUGGGUCCUCUCUGUCCACACACCACACAACCUCGUAACAGCCUGUUAUUAUGUUAUGAUUGUGGCUAUGGACUUUAAUUUGUUUUAACAAGCUAGAUAAAAGGUAAUGCCCUGGCAGUGGCAAAUAGUUUUGGUUUUACAUUUGAUUUCAUUGUGUAAGUCGAGAUUUACAAGAAUAUUUUAUUGCUACUGUGUAAAGGGAAUGCUGCUGGUAAAAAUCAGAUUAUUUGUUUAAAGUGUUUGCAAACCACAUGUUAUUGCACUUGUGUAUAUAGCAGUACAUUUAAAUUAAAAGUGCGCAAUACACUACAGUAGAAUUCAUUAUUCAAUUUUGCUCAAAUACGAUUAAUCGCAAGAAAAUCAUGCGAUUAAUAGCGAUUAAAAAAUUUUAAGCACUAAUUUGUAUAUUUUUGUACUUAUAGCUCUCCAUCAAAAUGGGAUCUAAUCUCUAAUGUGUUUGUUUAUUUUUCCUCCAGAGCUGAGUGGUUGUGGGUCCUCUCAGCAGUGUCCUGUGGACUGGAGGAAGAUCAACUCCAGAUCUUACUUCCUCUCCACUGAGAAUAAAACAUGGGAGGACAGCAGAAGAUACUGUCAGAGUAAAGAUGCUGACCUGGUGGUGAUCGCAGUGAACAGAAACCGAGGGCGUUGUACUGUCUGGAUGGGAAUGCUGAACUCUUGUUCUGGAUUGGUCUGUAUGACACAGCUGGGAGCUUCAAAUGGGUGGAUGGAUCUGUGCUGACCAAACAGUAAGCCUUUUAGAAUGACCCUGAAUCUUUCUGCCAGACAUGUUGACUCAAUAAGACCUUAGUAUCACAGAAAUAUAUGCUGCGUAUGCAGUGCUAGGCUAUAGAGAUUAUGUCUCCAAAAAGAAAAAUUCCCCUUUGCACCUCUUCACAGAAACUAAUGAAGUGCUUUGUAUUUAGCACUGGCAGUCAAUGAAACGCAAUGUACCUCUUGACUUUGUUUUGUGUUAUGAUUUUAUUUGUUUAUUUGGCAAUUAUCUGCAUUAAUUGACAUACGUUUUUCAUUUAGCUAUGACACAGUUAAUAAAUACGUGCAUAAAAAGGAAAUACAUAUAACUAUGCAUAGGGUUAAAAAGAGAAUACAUGCAGCAACAUCAUGCGACCCCAAAUAAAAAGUUGAAAGGAAUAGGAAUACAUGGUAUUUUCCCCUGCCCUUCACAGUUGCCAGGAUCAUCUUCCUUAAAAAAACCAACCCAUUUUUCUCAGUGGCAAUACAGCGGGGCCUUACCCAGCCCAGUUCGACUAAAGACAAUGUAGACCCAGCCAAACGUAUCCUGGCUUGUUACAUGGUCAUAAGUACCAAGUUGAUCCGUGUAAAGACUUCUACUUGGCUCACACAAAAUGAUUAGGCUGCAGGUUUUUUCAUUAAACAGUUAAAUUAGCCAACAUACCAUCAUCUCCACUACUUUAGUCCUCACAAGUUAGCAAAACACACAUUUCAGUUUUGGAAGGAAAAAUACUGUAUAUGUGUAUAUUAAAUUGCUUAUCUCUCCCUGGCCUCCAUCAUUUUUCUGUCAUUUAAAUUUUGGCAGUCGGACCAGCCGGAUCGUGGUGGUCCUAACAACAUGUAUCACCGCCACACAGUGCUGGGCAGCUGGAAUGAUGCCCCCUGUGGAGCCAAGCGGCUUUGGCUCUGUGAGAAAGAUCCAUUUAUCAUUUCAUAGUAUCAGCUCCAGAACAUUAUAUUAUGUACAUGUGCUUUUGCAAGAAGUUUACAUGUAAAACAGUUGUGAAUAAAAACAGAUUCUAUGAUAAUACACAACAUCAUCAUCAUUAUA